rnacentral:rRNA from 1 species
AGGACGAACGCUGGCGGCGUGCUUAACACAUGCAAGUCGAGCGGAAAGGCCCUUCGGGGUACUCGAGCGGCGAACGGGUGAGUAACACGUGAGUAAUCUGCCCCUAGCUCUGGGAUAGCUCCGGGAAACCGGGAUUAAUACCAGAUACGACCACUUUAGACAUCUGCUGUGGUGGAAAGAAUUUCGGCUAGGGAUGAGCUCGCGGCCUAUCAGCUUGUUGGUGAGGUAACGGCUCACCAAGGCGACGACGGGUAGCCGGCCUGAGAGGGCGACGGCCACGACUGGGACUGAGACACGGCCCAGACUCCUACGGGAGGCAGCAGUGGGGAAUAUUGCGCAAUGGGCGAAAGCCUGACGCAGCGACGCCGCGUGGGGGAUGAAGGCCUUCGGGUUGUAAACCCCUUUCAGCAGGGACGAAGCGAAAGUGACGGUACCUGCAGAAGAAGCGCCGGCUAACUACGUGCCAGCAGCCGC